GGGGGCGCCCGGUGGAGAAUGGGGAGAGGAGAGCUCCGGGCUGCCACGGGGAGAGGAGGGCGACUACCCAGACCCGGGUCUCCUUACCUACCUUGACGAACUUUGUGCCCAGGACAAAUACUUCCUUGCUAAGGUGGACGUAGUGCUGCACCCACACUUCCUGGCGGAGUUGCUCUCCCCACAUCCUGAGCUGUACCUCUUGGCCCUUGCUGAGGAGCUGGAGAAGGAGGAAGGACUGUCCAUCUUACAGCUGGAGCACAGGCGACUCCUGGAACUGAGGCAGGAGGAGGAGGGUGUGCAGGCCCCCCCAAGUCAUGGCGCACCCCAACUGGACUCAAGGCCUUCUGAGUGUGAGGCCAGCCAGUCUCCCCAGAGGCCAGGCCUCAGCCCCACUGGCCCUCCAGCUGCCAAGGCCAGCAGUCAGCCCCCGUGUGCAGGCACAGCGCCUGCUGGGAAGACACCCCUGCCAGGGGCCAGCCUCGGGCUCGCUGGGGGACCAGCCUUGGCUCUGGGUCUGGGCCACCCCUCACAGGCCCAGAAGAGAAAGGGGGACCCUUUUGUCCCAGAGAGGCGUAAGAGGCAGCACUGCAGCCAGUAGGGAGGAGCCGGCCCUCCAGGGCAGCUUCA